UAGAGUAAGAUCGAACCACUAUUAAUGAAGGUAUUCUACUAGGCUAGGAUGCUUGUUGUUUGGAUAUGGAGCCAUGGAAGAACUUGGACCCUUCCGUGUUAACAGUGAUGGAAAAACACUCUACCCCAACCACUAUGCAUGGAACAAUGGUGCAUGCCUAACCCUAUAAAACCUUUGCUUUUGAGGUACUAACUGUUUUCUCCUGGAAUUUUUUUUGCCUGAGAUUUUUUGCUGCCAGCUAUCCCUUCGGGACCACUCUUAUGUAUUAUGUUAAAAGCACCAAUUCAGAAAUUUGCUGAUUAUCUUUUAGGUGUUGGUGUCAAGCUUGUUGGCAAUACAGUGUGGAGUACCCUCUUUCAUCAAUUCUUAAUAGUGAUGUCACGUGAGAAAUCAUUUUUCUUUUUGUUAAACAAGUCUUUAUUAUCAUGUAUUAGGUCAUACCAUGGGUAAAAACAGCCUUGCCCCUGGUUCCGGGGUUGUCACAAAAUACUUGACUUUUUAACUUUGUUUGUGGUUUCAUUUAGUAAUAAUCCUUCUGAGGGGGUGUUUGUUGGCCUGC